rnacentral:rRNA from 1 species
AUACGUAGGGGGCGAGCGUUGUCCGGAAUGAUUGGGCGUAAAGGGCGCGUAGGCGGCGCGGUAAGUCUGGAGUGAAAGUCCUGCUUUCAAGGUGGGAAUUGCUUUGGAUACUGCCGCGCUUGAGUGCAGGAGAGGUUAUCGGAAUUCCCGGUGUAGCGGUGAAAUGCGUAGAGAUCGGGAGGAACACCAGUGGCGAAGGCGGGUAACUGGACUGCAACUGACGCUGAGGCGCGAAAGUGUGGGGAGCAAACAGGAUUAGAUACCCUGGUAGUCCACACUGUAAACGAUGAAUGCUAGGUGUAAGAGGUAUCGACCCCUUUUGUUCCGGAGUCAACACAAUAAGCAUUCCGCCUGGGUAGUCCGGCCGCAAGGUUGAAACUCAAAUGAAUUGACGGGG